rnacentral:rRNA from 1 species
CAGCAGCCGCGGUAAUACGAAGGGUGCAAGCGUUACUCGGAAUUACUGGGCGUAAAGCGUGCGUAGGUGGUGGUUUAAGUCCGUUGUGAAAGCCCUGGGCUCAACCUGGGAAUUGCAGUGGAUACUGGGUCACUAGAGUGUGGUAGAGGAUAGUGGAAUUUCCGGUGUAGCAGUGAAAUGCGUAGAGAUCGGAAGGAACAUCUGUGGCGAAGGCGACUAUCUGGGCCAACACUGACACUGAGGCACGAAAGCGUGGGGAGCAAACAGGAUUAGAGACCCGCGUAGUCCCUGUCUCUUAUAC